GACGAACGCUGGCGGCGUGCUUAACACAUGCAAGUCGAACGAGUGGCGGACGGGUGAGUAAUGUCUGGGAAACUGCCCGAUGGAGGGGGAUAACUACUGGAAACGGUAGCUAAUACCGCAUACCAUCGGAUGUGCCCAGAUGGGAUUAGCUAGUAGGUGGGGUAACGGCUCACCUAGGCGACGAUCCCUAGCUGGUCUGAGAGGCUGACCAGCCAAACUGGACAUGAGCAACGGUCCAGACUCCAACGGGAGGCAGCAGUGGGGAAUAGGGAACAAGCGGCGCAAGGCGGAGGCAGCCAUGCCGCGUGUAUGAAGAAGGCCUUCGGGUUGUAAAGUACUUUCAGAGAGGAGGCGUUACUCGCAGAAGAAGCACCGGCUAACGCCGUGCCAGCCGCCGUAAUAC
rnacentral:rRNA from 1 species